CAAGUACUCCCUCCGUCCGGAAUUACUUGUCAUCAAAAUGGAUGUGUCUAGAACUAAAAUACAUCUAGAUACAUCCAUUUCAAUGACAAGUAUUUUCGGACGGAGGGAGUACAAN
rnacentral:pre_miRNA from 1 species